UAGAGUUUGAUCCUGGCUCAGAUUGAACGCUGGCGGUAUGCUUAACACAUGCAAGUCGAACGGAAACGAUACUAGCUUGCUAGUAGGCGUCGAGUGGCGGACGGGUGAGUAACGCGUAGGAAUCUACCAGAUAGUGGGGGAUAGCCCGGAGAAAUUCGGAUUAAUAUCGCAUAAUCUCUACGGAGUAAAGGAGGCCUCUAUUUAUAUGCUUUCGCUAUCUGAUGAGCCUGCGUAAGAUUAGCUAGUUGGUGAGGUAAAAGCUCACCAAGGCGACGAUCUUUAGCUGGUCUGAGAGGAUGAUCAGCCACACUGGGACUGAGACACGGCCCAGACUCCUACGGGAGGCAGCAGUGGGGAAUAUUGGACAAUGGGGGCAACCCUGAUCCAGCAAUACCGCGUGUGUGAAGAAGGCCUGAGGGUUGUAAAGCACUUUCAAUUGUGAAGAAAAGUUAAUAGUUAAUAACUA
rnacentral:rRNA from 1 species